GACGAACGCUGGCGGCGUGCCUAAUACAUGCAAGUCGAGCGGACUUGAUGAAGUGCUUGCACUUCUGAUGGUUAGCGGCGGACGGGUGAGUAACACGUAGGUAACCUGCCUAUAAGACUGGGAUAACAUUCGGAAACGAAUGCUAAUACCGGAUACGCGAAUUGGUCGCAUGGCCGAAUCGGGAAAGACGGAGCAAUCUGUCACUUAUAGAUGGACCUGCGGCGCAUUAGCUAGUUGGUGAGGUAACGGCUCACCACGGCGACGAGGCGUAGCCGACAUGAGAGGGGGAUCGGCAACACUGGGACGGAGACACGGCCCAGACUCCUACGGGAGGCAGCAGUAGGGAAUCUUCCGCAAUGGACGAAAGUCUGACGGAGCAACGCCGCGUGAGUGAUGAAGGUUUUCGGAUCGUAAAGCUCUGUUGCCAGGGAAGAACGCUUGGGAGAGUAACUGCUCUCAAGGUGACGGUACCUGAGAAGAAAGCCCCGGCUAACUACGUGCCAGCAGCCGCCGUAA
rnacentral:rRNA from 1 species